CGCAGCUACACGGCGCUUCUUUCCCGGCGCCGCCGCCUACCGCACGGGAACUCUCGCGACAUCCUACAGGCUUCCGCCCCGCCUACCGGGCGGGCGCCUUGGGUGCGGUUGCUGAGGCGACGCUCGCAGCCGCAAGAGUUGACAAACUGUAUCGAAUGUGAAAUAUGUGCCAGGCAUGGGACCACACGUUGGAGACAACAAGGACAAAUAGGAUAGAGCUUCCUGGGCACGGGCUGUGCUCUCACACAUUGGCCUGUGCCCUCUAUGCUGAAGACUUUUAAAAAUAUGUAACCCCCCAUUUAUCUGUAAAAUGUACAUCUCAAGCACAUCAAAGAUGGUGACAGAGAAGAGUUAAGAAAGACAGCACAUCCAGAGGAGCAAGGGACAAGAUCUAAAUAAUUUCAUGAAAUGUUACUUGAUCCCAAGAUUUCUGCAGAAAUUUUCAAGUCUGUGCCAGUCUGCUGGUUAGCUGUCUUUAGUCUACAGCAUGGUGUGAACACGUGGUGUCGGCACCACCACCCAGAGGCCAUCAGCAGGGCAGGAGGCUGGACAUCUGGCAGCAGGAUCUGGCUUUUCUCCAGAGCUUCUUUCUCCAAUUGACUGGGUUGCCCUGAGUUUCUUUUGCACUUCCGAGACUCAGAUACAGAGAUGGUCACCAUUCAGUGGCUCUCACAGACAAUGACCUUAUGGUCUUGUCUCCAGCUAGAGACAGUGGAGACCUGGCAAGGAGGGUGGAGCCAGGUAUGGCAGGUAACUCCCAGGUGGGCAGGACUGCGCCUUGCGCACAAGCAGACUGCUGCCACCUGCUUGGCCUACAGGCAGGUGAUACCACAGCUUUGAUUCAUUCGCCUCAUCACUUCCUCUGGCCACAGCCACAGUGACCUCUUCCAGUUGUGAGGACUUCAUGGCAACCUUUGGGUGUUGAGAGUUUCCCGGGAGUGCUUCAGAUGGGGGCAAAGACCUAGGGGCCAGGACAUGUUUGGCAAAGACAAAGAGCUGUCUCACAGGAGCUCCUGCCAUUGGUGGGCGCUUCAUACGUGGAGCCCAGACACCUGGACUGUGGGGUCCACUGCAGAGCUGUACCUAGUUUGGGUGCACCUCAGCCUGGGGGCUUCCCUAGGCAGAAGCAGCAGCUGGGUAGAGUGAAAGGGUCUUCUGGGCUGCUUGGGGAAGGGGUGACCACGGAGGUCUGUCUUCCAGGAGGCGGCCACAGGAUGCACGGGAGGUGUGAUCUGUUUCCACCCAGAGCCUCUGAGUGUGGGCGCCAGGCCCAAGAGGUCCCCUGGCUUCCUGGGGUGUCUGAGGCCUGCAGGCUGGUGGCUGGCGGGCUGGGCCACUUCUCAACCGGUGGACCUGUGCCAGAACCCAGGCGGGGUUCACAAUGAGGAAGCACCCGGACCGGAAGAGUGUGCACUGGGCCCUGGAGCAGGCCGGCCAGUGGGUCGAGCAGGUGCAGCCCCAGGUGCUGUGGUCGUGAGAGGUGAAGCCUUCCAGGCUUCUGGGUCGGGUGAGGACUUGGAGAACUUUUACGUCUAGCUAAAGGAUUGUAAAUGCACCAAUCAGCGCUCUGUGUCUCUCUAAAGGUUUGUAAAUGCACCAAUCAGCGCUCUGUAAAAUGAACCAAUCAGCACUCUGUAAAAUGGACCAAUCAGCAGGACGUGGGCGGGGACAAAUUAGGGAAUAAAAGCAGGCCCCUGGGAGCCCAUCACUGCAACCAGCUCGGCUCGCCUUCUACGCUGUGGAAGUCUUGUUCUUUCCUUGUUCGGAAUAAGUCUGAUUGCUGCUCACUCUGGGUGUGCACCACCUUUAUGAGCUGUAACACUCACUGGGAAGGUCUGCAGCUUCACUCCUGAAAUCAGCCAGCCCACCAACCCACCGGGAGGAACAACUCCAGAUGCGCCACCUUAAGAGCUGUAGCACUCACCACCAAGGUCUGAAGCAUCACUCCUGAUCUUUAAGAACUAACACUCACUGCGAGGGUCCGUGGCUUCAUUCUUGAAGUCAGAGAGCAAAGAACCCACCAAUUCCGGACACAGUCGCACGCUGGGUGAGGAGGCAGUCGCUGCGAGGCUGCUGGUCACUGCGUGUUCUUGGGCGCAUGGGUGGUGUGACCUGCUCUCACGCAGGGGUCUGGCAGGUGCCGGGCAUAGUGGGGAGGGUGCUGCUGGGGUGCCGCGCACUUCUGACUGCAGGCCCGAAAUAUCCUGUUGGUAUUCCUAUGACAUUUCCGUCCUCCACUUGGGGGACGUUUGUCUUCUGAAGUCUUCAGACUUUUUGACGCCAUCGAAUGAAAUGAAAAAGCAUUUCAUGGCCACAUUCCGACUUAUUCCGGAGUACUGUAAAGACUAGAUACGUUAGCCAUUUUGUUCUUACAAAAUUAAACAUUGGUAGUUUCCCAAUCUCAGCAGUAUUGGACAUGUGGGGACAGAGAAUUCUUUUUUUGUUGGGGGGUAGGGGGCUGUGCUGUGAACUGCAGGGUGUUUAGUAGAAUUCCUGGCUUCUACCCACCACAUAACACCUGCCAGUAGCACCCCCACUCCAACCUGUCUCAACUGUGAAAAGCAAAUAUCAUGUCUCCAGAUGUUGGCAAAUAUCCCCCAGGGAACAAAAUCACCCUCAGCUGAGAACCACUGCCCUAAAAUGUCAGCUCCAGGAGCGCAGUCAGUUUUGGAUAUUCUGUGCAUCCCUAAAUCUGUGAUGCCUACAACAAUGCCUAGCCCUCAGUAGGCACUUAGUAAUUACUUCUUGAAUGAAUGAAUGUUAUCUUAGUGAUUUUUAUUAAAAUGGGAAAAACCUGUUGUAAUAAAACUCCUGUUUUCUC